rnacentral:rRNA from 1 species
UACAGAGGUCUCAAGCGUUGUUCGGAUUCAUUGGGCGUAAAGGGCGCGUAGGCGGCCACCGCAAGUCGAUUGUGAAAUCUCCGGGCUUAACUCGGAAAGGUCAACCGAUACUGCGGGGCUAGAGUGCAGAAGGGGCAACUGGAAUUCUCGGUGUAGCGGUGAAAUGCGUAGAUAUCGAGAGGAACACCUGCGGCGAAGGCGGGUUGCUGGGCUGACACUGACGCUGAUGUGCGAAAGCUAGGGGAGCGAACGGG